rnacentral:rRNA from 1 species
UCUCAGAGAUUAAGCCAUGCAUGUCUAAGUACAUACCUUAAAACGGUGAAACCGCGAAUGGCUCAUUAAAUCAGCUAUGGUUCCUUAGAUCGUAAACGCUACAUGGAUAACUGUAGUAAUUCUAGAGCUAAUACAUGCCUUGAAUCCCUGACCCGCAAGGGGACGGGUGCAUUUAUUAGAACAGAACCAACCGGGUGCGGCUUAUGCUGUGCCUGUUACAUUCUGUGAUGACUCUGGAUAACUUUACUGAUCGCAGUCGGCCAAUUGUGUGUCGGCGACGGAUCUUUCAAAUGUCUGCCCUAUCAAUUUGUUGGUAGGUGAUUUGCCUACCAUGAUGAUAACGGGUAACGGGGAAUCAGGGUUCGAUUCCGGAGAGGGAC